rfam:Gossypium hirsutum cultivar TM-1 chromosome 26, whole genome shotgun sequence
AGUUAAAAAUUUUAUUUAUUUUUAUUAUUAAAAAUUAGCAUGGUUGAUAGAAUAAUCAGAUAAUUACGCAUGGUGUGUCACAUAUACCUCAUACUGAUAUAUAAGGAUCAAGUUUUAACGGUAAAAAUAGAUGAAAUUUUUAAUA